UUUCCGUAGGUGAACCUGCGGAAGGAUCAUUAUUGUAUAACCGAGGUGCGAGGGCUGUCGCUGACCCGAAAGGUCGUGCACGCCCGAGUGCCCUCACACACAUCCAUCUCACCCCUUUGUGCACCACCGCGUGGGACCCCCUUUGGCUUGUUCGGAGGGGGGCUUACGUUUUCACACAAACUUUGUAUGCAGUGUAGAAUGUAUUUUUUGUUUUUGCGAUCACGCAAUCAAUACAACUUUCAACAACGGAUCUCUUGGCUCUC
rnacentral:misc_RNA from 1 species